AUUGAACGCUGGCGGCAGGCUUAACACAUGCAAGUCGAGCGGAGAUGAGGUGCUUGCACCUUAUCUUAGCGGCGGACGGGUGAGUAAUGCUUAGGAAUCUGCCUAUUAGUGGGGGACAACAUUCCGAAAGGAAUGCUAAUACCGCAUACGUCCUACGGGAGAAAGCAGGGGAUCUUCGGACCUUGCGCUAAUAGAUGAGCCUAAGUCGGAUUAGCUAGUUGGCGGGGUAAAGGCCUACCAAGGCGACGAUCUGUAGCGGGUCUGAGAGGAUGAUCCGCCACACUGGGACUGAGACACGGCCCAGACUCCUACGGGAGGCAGCAGUGGGGAAUAUUGGACAAUGGGGGGAACCCUGAUCCAGCCAUGCCGCGUGUGUGAGGAAGGCCUUAUGGUUGUAAAGCACUUUAAGCGAGGAGGAGGCUACUGAGACUAAUACUCUUGGAUAGUGGACGUUACUCGCAGAAUAAGCACCGGCUAACUCUGUGCCAGCCGCCGCCGUAAAAC
rnacentral:rRNA from 1 species